rnacentral:rRNA from 1 species
UCGAGAAUUUCUCUCAAUGGGGGAAACCCUGAAGGAGCGACGCCGCGUGAGGGAUGAAGGGCUUCGGCCCGUAAACCUCUGUCAUUUGCGAACAAACGUUAUGGUUGAACAUUCCAUGACUUGAUUGUAGCGAAAGAGGAAGGGACGGCUAACUCUGUGCCAGCAGCCGCGGUAAUACAGAGGUCCCAAGCGUUGUUCGGAUUCACUGGGCGUAAAGGGUGCGCAGGUGGGUUUGCAAGUUCGAUGUGAAAGCCCCGGGCUUAACCCGGGAAUGGCAUUGGAUACUGCAGAUCUGGAGGAUUGGAGGGGGGACUGGAAUUCUUGGUGUAGCAGUGAAAUGCGUAGAUAUCAAGAGGAACACCAGUGGCGAAGGCGAGUCCCUGGACAAUACCUAACACUGAGGCACGAAAGCUAGGGGAGCAAACAG